GAUGAGGAAAACGGAGCUGAUGAGGAUGACGAAGAAAAUCCUGAUGAUGUGGAUGAAGAAGAAGGUGGUGAUGAGGAUGAAGAAGGAGAUGAGAAUGGGCAAGAGCAGGAUGGUCACGCAGAAAAACGAUCUGCAGAGGAGGAAGAGGAUGAAGCGGAUCCAAAGAGACAGAAGACAGAAAACGGCUCUUCAGCUUGAGCCCUCCCCUCCCAUCUCCCUUGUUCCGUCCAUCUCCAUUCCAGCCUGUGCUUGCACUGCCCAUUAGCCUCUGGCUUCACACAAUCUCAGAUGAGGAAAGAUUAGAAAUGCUCUCAAACAGGGAAGACAGCAGUUCUCUUGUCACCCAAAGACCUAGCCCAUCCAUGACAUUCCCCAGCUGAAAUUAUCCCGGUCUCCCACAUCCCUUCACCUGCGCCCCACUUACCAGUGAUCCUCUUCCCUCAAGAAUCUCAUGGUUCCCUGGGGCUCAGCACAUAACCUCGCCAGGCCCCUCACGUGGCAAAGCACUUCCCCUCCCUCCCCUUGUCCCCUUCCUGCCUGUUUUUGUCACUGGUGUGAGAUUCUUGAGAGCUCCUGCUCCCCUGCCCUGCUGUCAGACCUCCCUGAGCCAGGAGGCUGCGGGCACAGAUCUCAUGGUGCAUUUCCCAGUCCUAGGCCUCUUCUCAUCCGCUUUCCCGCUGAACCCCGAGAGACAAAGAAUAUUACAAGCAAAUAAUGGUUCUAUUAAGCGACACACGGAGACAGAAUUUAUUUUAAGCUUUUCUUUUUUUUCCAAGUUUACAUGACAGCAAGCUGGCCCUCGUGAAUUUUUCAGAACAUAAGGGUUGCUUUUAUAUAUGAAUUUCAUUGAGCUGCAUAUUUUUUUAAUUUGGCGGCUUUUUUAAAACAAAUCAAGAGAGAAACAAUUGGGGACCAAACUUUGAUUUCCAUUUUUUCCCUUCAGAUUUUCUUGUGACCAUUUUUUGUAAAUUUAAGGCAAUAUAGCCACAGCAUUUUCUAUGGCACAGACGUCACGAGGGUGAUAGAUAUAAAUAUAUAUAUUGUUUUCAACAAGCACUGUAAAUAAAAGCGUUUAAAAAUAUUUCA
rnacentral:lncRNA from 1 species